GUGGGGAAUCUUAGACAAUGGGCGCAAGCCUGAUCUAGCCAUGCCGCGUGAGUGAUGAAGGCCCUAGGGUUGUAAAGCUCUUUCAGCUGGGAAGAUAAUGACGGUACCAGCAGAAGAAGCCCCGGCUAACUCCGUGCCAGCAGCCGCGGUAAUACGGAGGGGGCUAGCGUUGUUCGGAAUUACUGGGCGUAAAGCGCGCGUAGGCGGACUGAAAAGUUGGGGGUGAAAGCCCGGGGCUCAACCUCGGAACUGCCUUCAAAACUAUCAGUCUGGAGUUCGAGAGAGGUGAGUGGAAUGCCGAGUGUAGAGGUGACAUUCGUAGAUAUUCGGAGGAACACCAGUGGCGAAGGCGGCUCACUGGCUCGAUACUGACGCUGAGGUGCGAAAGCGUGGGGAGCAAACAGGAUUAGAAACCCGGGUAGUCC
rnacentral:rRNA from 1 species